GGAAAACAUCCUGAAUUCCAAUCACAUAAAAAUUGCACUAUCACGGAAUUGACGAAGACAUCGAAUACAAGGUGGAGAUGCAACUGGGAUCCAAGUACUUUCCCUACAGUUCCUUUAAAUAACAAUGCAAAGCCACAAAAAGAUCAUAUCACAUAAGUUCUUUUUUCUCUCCUCCCCUCUGUUGGUAAACAACAUAUUGGUUAUUU
rnacentral:misc_RNA from 1 species